CUUGAUCUUGGUAGUGAGAAAUUAUGGUGACGUGGUAGAUGUGUCCUCUCAUGUUUGUUAGUAGGUACUUGUCCUUGAUCUUGGUUUCAACGACCAGCUUUUUCUUUCAUGCAGAUUUGUUAUUUUUUGGCAAUUAUGAGAGAUGAUAUCGGUAGGCGUAGAUAGAGAAGAAAACGAAGCCACAUGCUGCAUCCCUUCUUUGUGGUGGUCCUUGUGUUUGCUUGGCAAAAACUCAACCACAAUUUAAUAGAAAGCAGGCUGGAACAAUAAAUAAAAAACAUAAACUGGAGAACUGUUUAUUAGUUCCCAUGUUAUAGUAGUAAUAUAUGUCCAACUCUACGUGGACGCGGCUGUUCUGCUCGCGAGCACAGGUGAGCACUUUAUCGAGACCAGUCGAUACCGCAUUGGGAUUGUGUCGUUGAAUUACUGAGCCAGCGCGUCGAGCAGUGUUAAAUCGCGAGGGGAGGGAAUACAGUAUACUGCCGCCUCGUACACCGCGUCGGGACGGAGCCCGCGGAUGGCGCCGUGACGGGAUUUCCCCUGAGCCGUGGCUCGGGGCGUCAGCGGAUUCCCUGAUCCUUUGCUCAGGAAAUCGAAUCUCCGUCAGUCGGCGCUGGGCAGGCCAGUAAAUGGCUACUAUGACAAACAGCGCCGCUGUCUCCCACCUCUCGCCAAUCUUUCUUGUGUCCGCCAUUGACGCCGUCCGAGAUCUGCGGAAGGAGUUCACGGCGGCGAGUUUCGUGGAUGGAGUUCCUGAUGCAACCAAUUAGGAGGUCCGCGGUGAUGGAGGAGGUGAAUGACAACCAGCUGCCAAUGGAGCCGGUGCACUACCCAGCGGUUGCGACAGCAACGGAGGAGCUGUCCCCCAUGGCCGCUGUAAGCGUUGACCGGCAGAUCUGUGCGGCGGAUGGGGCCGUUGCGGCGGAGGGGAAUGAUGAACCGCAGGCGUCUGAGCAAUCUAUUGGCUAGGUUGAUCCAAAAACACCAGGCUGGAAUCGCAGCCUUAGGAUUGGUGCUGCCGCACCGAGCAGAACACCAUGCCCAAAUCGAAUCAGUGCGUUUGAGAAGGAAGUCAGGUGUUGCGGAGAGAACCCAGCUGAAAACGUGAUCACACCGGUUCUCGGUACUAGUUUCGACUCUUUGGGCGAAACAUACGACUUGUGUGUACAUGUAGGUGGAUAUCAUCCGGAAAGCACGGUAAAACUGGUGCGUCGUCCUUGUGUACCAUUUGAGAUGAUGUUAUGUCGUACUUCAGCAAGUCAGCAGAUAACUGCUUCUGUAUUGACACCGUGUGCAAGAAUCGGACAACACCAGAGUCUGCUUGACAUAAAAGUCAUAAGUUAGUGCAGAUAAAAGCGCGUCAAAUGAAAUCAACAACUGUCAUAAGCUUAGUUGGGAGCUUGAAACUAGAGAGUGAAGGUCUUACUGAGAAUUCAGGUUCAAUAGGGUGCCUCCAGCUUAAAUAAGGGUUUUCGGUUUCUGCUUCAUCAUGUCAAGUUGGACGUGGCCUCGUGCAGUUGCGAGGUGCGAGAGGCAACGAGCAUUUAUUUCCUUCAAGAGGACUGUGAUCUCAUUUUUUUAAUUUACGUCUUCAAUAUCUGCCUUUUUAGUUAUUCUCUUCAUUUUUGGUAUGACCAUAGUUAGUCUCUUUCAGAUAUUUUAGGCUCUAAUUAUUCGUUUUUAUUUAUUUAGUUACCCAUUUCUGUUAGUGUUCAGUUUUUAUGUUCAUUGCUCUAUCUGCAAUUUACAUGAGCGAACUUUCUCAGUCCUCACUCUUUAUUCGUUAGUCCAUGUUCGGUCCCUCAUUUUUUCCUUUUUCUUUUUUAGCAGUUUAUGUUGCAUGCUCAUCGGUGAGCCUGUCAACAUCAGAGGGAGAGGGGAGAAGUUGAGCGGUACUCUUGGUUCAGAUGUUUUCCUUAGCAAUCGUUUGACGCAGAGCGUUCUGUCUUUCAUUUUAAGGACGUUGCAACCUAACAUGCAUGAUUCGGAAAGGGAUAACAUAAUGGCUGGCAUUCUGUAAACUUUUUGUCGAAUUGUUAGUAAACUUUUGAUAGAGCCUAAAUAUCAGUAUUUUUUCCCUUUUUAGAUUUCUUUAGUUUAAUUCGUUGUUCUUCUUUUAGUCAUAUUGUUCUUUUAUUUGAUCAGUGGUUGUCAGUAUUGUCGUUUCUUCAGUCUAUAUUCAGUUUAUGUGUUUUCAGUCUGUAUUCAGUUUAUGUGUUUUCAGUCUAUUAUUCACUUUAUCAUUUCAGUUUUUAAGUCUUCAUUUUAUUUUCUUCAUCAUUCUGAUCCCGUGGAUUGAAUGAGGUUUCAGUGGCGUCAAAUUGCACCAUGAUCAGAUACAUGCUGUGAAAUCAUAUUUUGCAUGGGGGCACCAAGAAGCCUGCGGCGUGGCUCAAGCGGUGUCACUUCCAGUGGCUAUAGCAACCAAAAACCAAAAGCCCUCUAUAUUCUGAUGGCAAAGCUGAUGUAUGUAUCCCACGGGGCAUCACAUAAAUUACCAUUCAAGGUAGGUUCCAGUCUGCAGAUCGCGAGGGACGGUAUGGCUGGAAUACGCUUGGUAACAGGGAGCAUUACCACUGCUGCGUACAAGACCUCUAAGGAAGACCAUCUCGUCAAUAAGCUACGAGAACAAGGGCCAUUAGUUUUUGCAAGUGGAGAUGCAACCAUUGGAAACCAGAACGAUGAUGCUACUUCGGCAAAUGAGACUGGGAACAGGCUCGCUGGAUGUUGGCGCCAAAGAAGCCAAAAGAGAUGGGUCGCCCAACAACUAGCCAAGAGAAGGCGCCGUACGAGGGGCUCAGCAAACGGACAAGCUUCUGCACGAUAUGUUGCCAGCAGGGGCACAAGAGGACAACCUGAUAUCCCCAAGCCAGUUUGUAAACCAGUGCGGCACAAAAACUGCGGCGUUGAAGGUCACAAACGAAACAACUGCCGCAAAGUAGGUGAUCUGCGGCUAAACAACAUGUGAUGAUUUGUGUUGCUAAUGUAUGUGUUUGUAUGUUGUUUUCAGGCGUACUGUCUGUCUUUGUAUACAGAGUGGUGUACAUAUGGUUGUUGAUCUGUCUUGGUGAUUCUGUGAAGUGCAUUUCCCAUUGCCAACAUGGUUUCUGUUGGCUGAAUUUUUUACUGAGACAAUCUGGUUAUCUUUGGCUGCUAGAUGGGCAAUUGUGCUAAAUGCUGGACAAGUGCAUGCCUGUGUGAGGCCGUGCGCCCAGUGCUUGGCCGAUCCAUUUCUAAUUGCACUACAAGAGCAGGGAAAACAGAGGAGCAAUUACAUAAGCGUUCCUCCACCAUGCGUGCCCCAUCUGACCGAUCCAUCCCUUUUCGUUUAGGUAGAAAAGACUGAAUACUACAGGGCAGUUCUUGCCAUGGCUCUGACCGUGCUAUCCCUAUGGGCGUCUGGCAUUACAAAAUCAGAUGCAACUCGCAAGCUGGAUGAAGUAUCCGCAGAGGUGAUUCCCCUUGCGCUGUAAACUCUGUUGUAGCAUGAAUUGGCAGGAACUUCUAUUUAAGUUGUACAGCUCGCGUGCAGGGUUCAGUUGAGCUGAAAGUUCAGUAAACCAGCCUGUAGGACUACAAGUUGUUACGCUGACUUCAUCUUCGGGAGUGUCUGCUGUCUUUGAGCAGGUAAGAAGAUUCAGUCCACCCAUUAAUUCUGUUCCUGAUUUUUCUCCUUGCUUAUCUUGACGAGUUUCCUGCAGGAGACAUGCCAUGCAACCGCAGAUCUGGAGACAUAAGAGAUGGGCCCGCAGGACGAAGUGCAGAUGCAGGCGCUCCGCGCGGUGGAUGAACGGUGCAGAGAACACGAUCCGGAAAAGCAUGAUUAGCUGCUGUGUGAGCUUGCCGAGCCCCGAGCUUGAAGACGGCGAGCAGUCUACGGCUGGGGCGUGCGGCGACUGGAGAUAGCUGCCGUCGUUGGUCCAGAAUCAGCGAGUUAGCGGCCCAGUCCGUGACGCUGUACCAAUGGCCGUUUGCUAGAAGUGGGCCAAUAUAACUGUUCAUUAAUAGAUAUACGGCAGUAAUACGUGGGCCUGUAUGCGUCAGAAUGGGAAUCUCGAAGAUCACGGGCGGGAGGGAUAUCGCGA
rnacentral:rRNA from 1 species